GACGAACCCUGGCGGCGUGCCUAACACAUGCAAGUCAAAGGAAAGCGGCUUCGGCCGGGAGUACUUGGCGCARGGGUGAGUAAUGUAUAGGUAAUCUGCCCUUUGGACUGGGAUAACCCCGAGAAAUCGGGGACAAUACCARAUGAUGCAGCGGAACCGCAUGGUUAUGUUGUUAAAGAUUUAUCGCCAAAGGAUGAACCUAUAUCCCAUCAGGUAGUUGGUAAGGUAACGGCUUACCAAGCCUACGACGGGUAGCUGGUCUGAGAGGAUGAUCAGCCACAUUGGAACUGAGACACGGUCCAGACUCCUACGGGAGGCGGCAGUGAGGAAUAUUGCGCAAUGGGCGAAAGCCUGACGCAGCAACGCCGCGUGGAUGAUGAAGUUCUUCGGAAUGUAAAGUCCUUUUGUAGAGGAAGAAUAUCUUGGUUUACCAGGACUGACGGUACUCUACGAAUAAGCCACGGCUAAC
rnacentral:rRNA from 1 species